CAACCAAAACUGCCUUUGAGUUCAGUUUGAGGAAGACGAAAAACGAGCGAAGAAAGAAUCUAAAAGAUGUUUAAGAUCGGCUUGUUAUCUAUACUUACAAUGGCAAGCUUCAUACUUACACAUGCGGGAAAACUCGAUGAACAUUUUUGGGACUAUCACAGCGAAAGUUAUGUCCCAAAGAGACGCUCAAAGACUUCAAACACGGUUUGUUGGCACAAUUGGUCAAAAUGUUAUGUGAGAAAACAGGCGCAACGUUACUGCGGCACCACAAACGUGAGCUGUCUAACUGAAAAAAAAGGUCAAACGAUUACAUGCACGGCUCAUUAUUCUUUAUAACGCAUAAUUAUGAACAGAACUAAGUUCUCUUUGUAGAUUUUAGAAAUUGGCGUGCGUUGUUACGGUGAGAAAAUGCACGUUAUUGUAACAGAUA